rnacentral:rRNA from 1 species
CCUACGGGAGGCAGCAGUGAGGAAUAUUGGUCAAUGGACGAGAGUCUGAACCAGCCAAGUAGCGUGAAGGAUGACGGCCCUAUGGGUUGUAAACUGCUUUUAUAAAGGGAUAAAACGAGGCACGUGUGCCUUUUUGCAUGUACUUUAUGAAUAAGGAUCGGCUAACUCCGUGCCAGCAGCCGCGGUAAUACGGAGGAUCAGAGCGUUAUCCGGAUUUAGUGGGUUGAAAAGGAGCGUAGCGGGGUUGUUAAGUGAGUUGUGAAAGCUGGCGGCUCAACCUUAGAAUUGCAAUUGAUACUGGCCGUCUUGAGUACAGUUGAGGUAGGCGGAAUUCAUGGUGUAGCGGUGAAAUGCUUAGAUAUCACGCAGAACACCGAUUGCGAAGGCAGCUUACCAAACU